rnacentral:rRNA from 1 species
CCUACUGGAGGCAGCAGUGAGGAAUAUUGGUCAAUGGACGAGAGUCUGAACCAGCCAAGUCGCGUGAAGGAUGACUGCCCUAUGGGUUGUAAACUUCUUUUAUAUGGGAAUAAAAUGUUCCACGUGUCGGAUUUUGUAUGUACCAUAUUAAUAAGGAUCGGCUAACUCCGUGCCAGCAGCCGCAGUAAUACUGAGGAUACGAGCGUUAUCCGGAUUUAUUGGGGUUAAAGGGAGCGUAGGUGGAUUGUUAAGUCAGUUGUGAAAGUUUGCGGCUCAACCGUAAAAUUGCAGUUGAAACUGGCAGUCAUGAGUACAGGAGAGGUGGGCGGAAUUCGUGGUGUAGCGGUGAAAGGCUUAGAUAUCACGAAGAACUCCGAUUGCGAAGGCAGUUCACUGGACUGCAACUGACACUGAGGCUCGAAAGUGUGGGUAUCAAACAGGAUUAGAUACCCCGGUAGUC